rnacentral:rRNA from 1 species
CAGCCGCCGCGGUAAAACGUAGGUGGCAAGCGUUGUCCGGAAUUAUUGGGCGUAAAGGGCUCGCAGGCGGUUUCUUAAGUCUGAUGUGAAAGCCCCCGGCUCAACCGGGGAGGGUCAUUGGAAACUGGGAAACUUGAGUGCAGAAGAGGAGAGUGGAAUUCCACGUGUAGCGGUGAAAUGCGUAGAGAUGUGGAGGAACACCAGUGGCGAAGGCGACUCUCUGGUCUGUAACUGACGCUGAGGAGCGAAAGCGUGGGGAGCGAACAGGAUUAGAGACCCGCGUAGUCCCUGUCUCUUAUAA